AAAAAAAUGCACUAAUUGUAUCAACAUGAAGGCCCCGUUUGGAAACUAUGUAAAAUUCUUCACCCAUGAAUACUUACGGGUGCAUUUUGCCGUGCACAACAGGUUACAGGUGAAUCAAAAAACCGGUGUUUAGUGUUUGGGAGAGAAGAAACGCCGGGCAGCCGCCGCCGCUGGACCUUGCGACCUCCGCCGAGCAUCCGCCGCUGGAUCCCGCCGCAUCCGCUGGACCUUGUGACCUCCGCCGAGCAUCCGCCGCUGGGUCCCGCCGCCGCCGCUGGAUCCCCUUGUUGCAGCCGGCUGCAUCCUUCCUCGGUGGAUCCCCAUCGUCCCAGCCGC
rnacentral:lncRNA from 1 species